rnacentral:rRNA from 1 species
UACGAAGGGGGCUAGCGUUGUUCGGAAUCACUGGGCGUAAAGGGCGCGUAGGCGGCUGUUCAAGUCGGGGGUGAAAUCCCGUGGCUCAACCACGGAAUGGCCUUCGAUACUGGACGGCUAGAGACCGGAAGAGGUGAGUGGAACUGCGAGUGUAGAGGUGAAAUUCGUAGGUAUUAUCGAAGAACACCAGUGGCGAAGGCGGCUCACUGGUCCGAUACUGACGCUGAGGUGCGAAAGCGUGGGGAGCAAACAGG